CUUAACUUUAUAACCGAGAAUGGGAAUGAUAGAUCCAUGUUUCUUGAAACCAUUCCGUCAAUACUCCUGCAUGCGUCUUGGCUGACAGGUCAAGGGGUUUGAAGUACAGGUAGAUUCGGCAAAACGAAGGCUGAAGCCAUUCCUUCGGAAAAGGUAUGCCAACGGAUAUGCCGCACGGCUGAAAA
rnacentral:ncRNA from 1 species